ensembl:lncRNA
GGUGGGGUGGUCCAGGCACAUCAUGGCCCUGUUGAUCCAGGUCUGUUUUAUUUCCCACAAGGCAGAGUUUCACUAUUUUCCAAUUAUAUGACUUUGAAGGACCUGCACCACUGACUGCAGAUAGUACUGACAUUUUGCCUUUUAUGAACUGAUCGGAGAUAUGGAGCACAAAUAAUACCCGCUGAAUCUAGUUUUGUAGAAUAAAGUCACUCUUAAGUCGUCACCCACCCUGCGCAGCUCUAAAUAUGGGAGCUCAUAUUUCACUGUGAAUUGAUUCCCCUGAUGGAAUGAGUGUCUGUGUCCUGUAGGUCAGCAGGAGGAGAGGAUGCUGGUCUAAUUAGCAGCAGAGGAAUCUUCUGUCGGCCCAACACCUGUCACCACAGGCUCAACACUGCCCUCUGCUUUCCGGAAGAGGAAGACAAUCAAGGUGUCUACACCAAGUGAAUGUGAAGCAUUCCUUGAUGCCAUUUUAAUUGACGGAUUCCACCAAGAAUCCUGUUUAUGGUCAACAACUGAUUGCUGAUCCAAACCACUCUGUAGCUGUCCGCUGGAAUAAAAACCCGGAAAAAGCUACGGAACUGAAAUCC